rnacentral:rRNA from 1 species
AUGCAAGUCGAACGGUAACAGGAAGAAGCUUGCUGCUUUGCUGACGAGUGGCGGACGGGUGAGUAAUGUCUGGGAAACUGCCUGAUGGAGGGGGAUAACUACUGGAAACGGUAGCUAAUACCGCAUAACGUCGCAAAACCAAAGAGGGGGACCUUCGGGCCUCUUGCCAUCGGAUGUGCCCAGAUGGGAUUAGCUAGUAGGUGGGGUAACGGCUCACCUAGGCGACGAUCCCUAGCUGGUCUGAGAGGAUGACCAGCCACACUGGAACUGAGACACGGUCCAGACUCCUACGGGAGGCAGCAGUGGGGAAUAUUGCACAAUGGGCGCAAGCCUGAUGCAGCCAUGCCGCGUGUAUGAAGAAGGCCUUCGGGUUGUAAAGUACUUUCAGCGGGGAGGAAGGGAGUAAAGUUAAUACCCUUGGUCAUUGACGUUACCCGCAGAAGAAGCACCGGCUAACUCCGUGCCAGCAGCCGCGGUAAUACGGAGGGUGCAAGCGUUAAUCGGAAUUACUGGGCGUAAAGCGCACGCAGGCGGUUUGUUAAGUCAGAUGUGAAAUCCCCGGGCUCAACCUGGGAACUGCAUCUGAUACUGGCAAGCUUGAGUC